AGAACACGUCACUGCGUACAAUGUGUUUCGCAAUGGGUAUAGCAAAAGCCGAUCCAUAGUAUAUUAUGGUACCACUGUUCUCUAGAAGUCUUAACAUAACAUCCUCAAAUCUACCUCCUAGGCAGUUCAAAGCUAGUACAGCAUUCUAUAAGCCAUACAUGGAGCGAUAGUCAACAUGGAUGCUUCAGGAAGGGGGAUGUUAGGGGAUAUAACAUGGAUGUCACGCUCAUGAUAUAUGCCAUAAUAUUGCCAGGUUCCAAGACCUCUUGAAGUUAAAACUACACGCUCACCAGGAUCAACAGUGCAAACUUUAUUACCAAUUUCAACAACUUCACCAACACCUUCAUCACCAGGUACACAAGGUAAAUGUGGCAGACAUUGGUUUCUACCUGAAAUGUAAAAAAUUAUGUAAACAAAGACACUAUUAGUCAUAUAUUAUUCUUUUCCAAACUGAACUACAAAUAUGUGGAAUAAUAUUAAAUAAAACAGCUUAUCUCC